UUACCUGGGCUCAAAUGUAUGUUGACGUAUUCUGAAAGGGAUACUUCUUCGGACAAUAUACAAGUGCUGCAUGGUUGUCGUCAGCUCGUGCCGUGAGGUGUCGGGUUAAGUCCCAUAACGAGCGCAACCCUAUCAUUAGUUGCCAUCAGGUCAAGCUGGGGACUCUAAUGAAACUGCCUACGCAAGAGUGAGGAAGGUGGGGAUGACGUCAAAUCAGCACGGCCCUUACGUCCAGGGCUACACACGUGCUACAAUGGCCGGUACAAAGGGCAGCUACCUGGUGACAGGAUGCUAAUCUCAAAAGCCGGUCUCAGUUCGGAUCGGAGUCUGCAACCCGACUCCGUGAAGUUGGAUUCGCUAGUAAUCGCGCAUCAGCCAUGGCGCGGUGAAUACGUUCCCGGGCCUU
rnacentral:rRNA from 1 species